UACGUAGGGUGCGAGCGUUGUCCGGAAUUAUUGGGCGUAAAGAGCUUGUAGGCGGUCUGUCGCGUCUGCUGUGAAAAUCCGGGGCUCAACCCCGGACUUGCAGUGGGUACGGGCAGACUAGAGUGUGGUAGGGGAGACUGGAAUUCCUGGUGUAGCGGUGAAAUGCGCAGAUAUCAGGAGGAACACCGAUGGCGAAGGCAGGUCUCUGGGCUGCUACUGACGCUGAGAAGCGAAAGCAUGGGGAGCGAACAGG
rnacentral:rRNA from 1 species